GAAAACUUUGAGGUUUGUCCAUCUUAAGUGCAGGGAUGAUGUUCCUGGACACUAGCCCUUGCUUUUUUGUGGUGAUGUAAAAAGGAAAAAAAAAAAAAAUCCUACUCAGUUCCUUUCCAGGCCAAAUUCAUUCAUAUUCUUUCAAAUAAAAAUGUUGAAGGAAGAGAAGGAAGAGUCUUACCCACAACUGUGAAAACCCAAGGUAUACUUCCUAGCACAGGACGGGCUUGCAGGAUCAGCGGUGCUGUGUGUGACAAAAGCAGAUGUUGAUGAACUCCUCAGGCCUACGUUCAUUCUUGACUUA
rnacentral:lncRNA from 1 species